AAACCAGCACCUCAAGUGGUCAGGAUGAUUAUUGGGCCUAAAGCAUCCGUAGCCUGCUUUGUAAGUUUUCGGUUAAAUCCAUAUGCUCAACAUAUGGGCUGCCGGGAAUACUGCACAGCUAGGGAGUGGGAGAGGUAGACGGUACUCCAUAGGAAGGGGUAAAAUCCUUUGAUCUAUGGAAGACCACCUGUGGCGAAGGCGGUCUACCAGAACACGUUCGACGGUGAGGGAUGAAAGCUGGGGGAGCAAACCGGAUUAGAAACCCGGGUAGUCC
rnacentral:rRNA from 1 species